rnacentral:rRNA from 1 species
CAGCAGCCGCGGUAAUACAGAGGGUGCGAGCGUUAAUCGGAUUUACUGGGCGUAAAGCGUGCGUAGGCGGUUCGUUAAGUCUGUUGUGAAAGCCCCGGGCUCAACCUGGGAAUGGCAAUGGAUACUGGCGAGCUAGAGUGUGUCAGAGGAUGGUGGAAUUCCCGGUGUAGCGGUGAAAUGCGUAGAGAUCGGGAGGAACAUCAGUGGCGAAGGCGGCCAUCUGGGACAACACUGACGCUGAGGCACGAAAGCGUGGGGAGCAAACAGGAUUAGAUACCCGGGUAGUCCCUGUCUCUUAUAC